rnacentral:miRNA from 1 species
UAUCAGGUUGGUGCAAAAGUAAUUGCGGUUUUGCCAUUAAAAGUAAUGACAAAAACUGCAAUUACUUUUG